rnacentral:rRNA from 1 species
UACGAAGGGGGCUAGCGUUGCUCGGAAUCACUGGGCGUAAAGGGUGCGUAGGCGGGUCUUAAGUCAGGGGUGAAAUCCUGGAGCUCAACUCCAGAACUGCCUUUGAUACUGAAGAUCUUGAGUGCGGGAGAGGUGAGUGGAACUGCGAGUGUAGAGGUGAAAUGCGUAGAGAUGUGGAGGAACACCAGUGGCGAAGGCGACUCUUUGGCCUGUAACUGACACUGAGGCGCGAAAGCGUGGGGAGCAAACAGG